rnacentral:rRNA from 1 species
AGAGUUUGAUCCUGGCUCAGAUUGAACGCUGGCGGAAUGCUUUACACAUGCAAGUCGAACGGCAGCACGGGUGCUUGCACCUGGUGGCGAGUGGCGAACGGGUGAGUAAUGCACCGGAACGUACCCAGUAAUGGGGGAUAACUAUCCGAAAGGAUAGCUAAUACCGCAUACGCCCUGAGGGGGAAAGCGGGGGAUUCGUAAGAACCUCGCGUUAUUGGAGCGGCCGAUGCCGGAUUAGCUAGUUGGUGGGGUAAAGGCCCACCAAGGCGACGAUCCGUAGCUGGUCUGAGAGGACGACCAGCCACACUGGAACUGAGACACGGUCCAGACUCCUACGGGAGGCAGCAGUGGGGAAUUUUGGACAAUGGGCGAAAGCCUGAUCCAGCCAUUCCGCGUGAGUGAAGAAGGCCUUCGGGUUGUAAAGCUCUUUCGCAAGGAAAGAAAACUUAUCCAUUAAUACUGGGUGAGGUUGACGGUACCUUGAUAAGAAGCACCGGCUAACUACGUGCCAGCAGCCGCGGUAAUACGUAGGGUGCGAGCGUUAAUCGGAAUUACUGGGCGUAAAGCGUGCGCAGGCGGUUUGACAAGUCUGAUGUGAAAUCCCCGGGCUCAACCUGGGAACUGCGUUGGAAACUGUCAGGCUAGAGUGUAGCAGAGGGGGGUAGAAUUCCACGUGUAGCAGUGAAAUGCGUAGAUAUGUGGAGGAACACCAGUGGCGAAGGCGACUUUCUGGACUGUAACUGACGCUGAGGCGCGAAAGCGUGGGGAGCAAACAGGAUUAGAUACCCUGGUAGUCC